rnacentral:rRNA from 1 species
CCUACGGGUGGCAGCAGUAGGGAAUAUUGCUCAAUGGGGGAAACCCUGAAGCAGCAACGCCGCGUGGAGGAUGAAGGUUUUCGGAUUGUAAACUCCUUUUGUUAGAGAAGAGAAUGACGGUAGCGAACGAAUAAGCACCGGCUAACUCCGUGCCAGCAGCCGCGGUAAUACGGAGGGUGCAAGCGUUACUCGGAAUCACUGGGCGUCAAGAGCGCGUAGGCGGGAUUGCAAGUCAGCUGUGAAAUCCUAUGUCUGAACCCUAGAACUGCAUUUGAAACUGUUAUUCUAGAGUAUGGGAGAGGUAGCUGGAAUUCUUGGUGUCGGGGUUAAAUCCGU